AGGGUGUAGCCAUUUCAGCCUAGUGAGUGUCCCUGCCUGUUUGGGAGUCUUUGGAGGGGUUUCCUUGGGGACCUGGGACUCUCUCGUUUCUGUGGUGUUCAAUCUCCACAGUGUCGUGAUAGACCACUGCCCGGAGCCCCUUCUGCCACUGCCUGCCCGACCCAAACCUGAUGCCAUGGAGAUGCCAACUGGCCAUAAACCCAGACUGUAAGCUCCUUGAAGACAGGAACAUCAUCAUGGCUGUUUAUCACAUUCCUCAGCAUCGGGCACAGAGCCAGCUUUCCACCGCACUGGCGGCCAGUAUGUGAAGAACUGAACCAACUCCAACUCAGUGGCAUAGAAAGAAUCCACCACUAUAAAAAAUAUGACUUUAACGAUUGAAGAGAACAAAAUCAAUUCUAUGUACUAGGAUGUUGUAUGGAGCUUCUUUUUUAACUCCUGAAUGAGCACUCGGGCACCAUGGCUAACGCAAGAAGGUUCUAAGCAUCAGGUAUCCUAAAGAGGUCCGUCCACACGUGGACGGACCUUCCUCCCACGGACGAGUAGUCGUAAGAGUCUCACUCCAGUCAAUGACUCCUCACCACAUCCUUCCCUUUAUUCUAUGCCCAGAGAUCACUGAGAGGGUUGUCCCACUUUAGAGUGAAGAAAAGAUCUCAACAGUUCCAGCGUCCCACCCAAAGUCACAUGGUGGAAAGAGCUGUGCGCUGAAGGGAGGUUGCCUCUCUCUGGAAACAUCUGCAGUGACCGAGGGGCCAAGAUAGAGCUGCAUAUUACCUGGAGAAUCGAUACCAUCACGUGGUCUCAUUAGAGAGAAAACCAAGCAGCAGUAUCCCAAGAAGUUACCAGUUCUAUAAGGAAGUCUUCCUCUCCCUAUUCCUUUGAUUGCACCCCCACAUCGGAAAUGGAGGGGGUGGGAGUGUAUCAGACGUGGACUGAGACCCUCACACUCUGCAGCGUUUGGGUAGGAGGCUUUCUGCUGAUAUCUGUAAGGGGUGAGAAGGGCAGAUCUGCUGGCAGUAAAAGAGUAAAAAGAUGGCAAGAUGAGAUAAAGCUGGAUUCUGGUAACACCCCCUACUCCACAAGUCGGAUUCAGUUCUCCUAAGGUGAGCUCUUCUAUCCAUAUGCCAGUUCAAGUCAAUUUCGCCCUCAAGGAAUAUCCAAGGAACAAACACCAUCUUCUCCAGGAUGAGUUUCUUCUACCUCUGCUUUCAGAUGAUAAGUAGACUCUCCUUGACGCCCCCAUAGAGAAAUUCCCUUAGAAGAAAGCGCUUGAGUAAAAAGAUCUUUUGUAUCAACUGAGAGUGAUAUUCUGUUUGAUAUUUUAGUCUACCGAAGGCUCAGUAACACAGAUAAAAGCAGUACAAAUGCCCUUUCCAAGGAGCAACAUUUCAUUUCUAGACAAAUAGAAAUAGAUCAAGGGCCAAUGCCGCUCCUUUGUUCUACUAAAUCCGUGUUUUGAAUAAACGGAAGAACACGAAGGUGA